rnacentral:misc_RNA from 1 species
UAAUCAAAAUCGGAGCGAUGCCUUUUGGGUGAAGCACCGGAGUUUGGGUCAUCUUAACUCUUUAAGAGACCUAAAAUUAACAUUCUUUUUUUGCUCACUUUGAGACGUACAUAAUUUUUUUUAUUCGUCUACCCUGGUGGCAAAAAUUUUAUUAGAUCGUGAAUCACGUAGAGUGGUCUCGCGUCUAUAAUUAUCAUG